AGUUCCACAGUGUAGUGGUUAACGCAUCUGCUUUACACAAAGAAGGUCCUGGGUUCGCGCCCCAGUGGAGCCA
rnacentral:tRNA from 1 species